AUUGAACGCUGGCGGCAGGCUUAACACAUGCAAGUCGAGCGGGGGGAUGGUGCUUGCACUAUCACUUAGCGGCGGACGGGUGAGUAAUGCUUAGGUAUCUGCCUAUUAGUGGGGGAAAACAUCUGGAAAGGGAUGCUAAUACCGCAUACGUCCUACGGGAGAAAGCAGGGGAUCACUUGUGACCUCGCGCUAAUAGAUGAGCCGAGGUGGGAGUAGGUAGGUGGUGGGGUACAGGCCUACCAAGGCCACGACCUGUAGCGGGUCUGGGAGGAUGAUCCGCCACACUGGGACUGGGACCCGGCCCAGACUCCUACCGGAAGCAGCAGUGGGGAACAUUGGACAAUGGGGGGAACCCUGAACCCGCCAUGCCGGGUAUGUGAAGAAGGCCUUAUGGUUUUAAAGCACUUUAAGCGAGGAGGAGACUCUAUUAGUUAAUUCCCUAGAUGAGUGGACGUUACGCGCAGAAUAAGCACCGGCUAACUCUGUGCCAGCCGCCGCCGUAA
rnacentral:rRNA from 1 species